rnacentral:lncRNA from 1 species
CCUCCGAUAAUAAAGAAAUCCUUUUUGAUCUUACAGAAAUGCCUUGUUCGCUUGAGCUUAUCAGUUAAAUUUACCAACCAUUCAGCAGUGUUUUUCUCUCACAAUAAACCAACCAACAUAUCAUGGUUUAUCAGCCAAACAAUACGUUGGGUAUAAACUACAACACCACCAGCCACCAGGAGUCCAGGACAUGAGCCAACGACAACAC